GCUGAGUGAUGGCUCAGGAUGAACGCUAGCGGCAGGCCUAAUACAUGCAAGUGAACGAGAUUAUCCAGCUUGCUGGAUAUGAAAGUGGCGCACGGGUGCGUAACGCGUAUGCAACUACCUUAAUCAGGGAUAGCCCGAAGAAAUUCGGAUUAACACCGCAUAAACACAGGAUAGCAUUAUCCAAUGUUCAAAUAUUUAUAGGAUUAAGAUGGGCAUGCGUGUCAUUAGCUAGUUGGCGGGGUAACGGCCCACCAAGGCGACGAUGACUAGGGGAUCUGAGAGGAUGACCCACACUGGUACUGAGACACGGACCAGACUCCUACGGGAGGCAGCAGUAAGGAAUAUUGGUCAAUGGAGGGAACUCUGAACCAGCCAUGCCGCGUGCAGGAAGACGGCCCUCUGGGUUGUAAACUGCUUAUUCGGAAUAACCUAUUUAGUGUAAAUAGCUGAAUGUACCGAAGGAAUAAGGAUCGGCUAACUCCGUGCCAGCAGCCGCGGUAAUACGGAGGAUCCAAGUUAUCCGGAUUUAUUGGGUUUAAAGGGUGCGUAGGCGGCUUAUUAAGUCAGGGUGAAAGACGGUGGCUCAACCAUCGCAGUGCCCUUGAUACUGAUGAGCUUGAAUGGACUAGAGGUAGGCGGAAUGUGACAAGUAGCGGUGAAUGCAUAGAUAUGUCACAGAACACCGAUUGCGAAGGCAGCUUACUAUGGUCUAUUGACGCUGAGGCACGAAGCGGAAGG
rnacentral:rRNA from 1 species